rnacentral:rRNA from 1 species
GACGAACGCUGGCGGCGUGCUUAACACAUGCAAGUCGAACGGAAAGGCCCCUCUGGGGGUACUCGCGUGGCGAACGGGUGAGUAACACGUGAGUAAGUUGCCCUUCAUUUAGGGUUAACUACCGGAAGCUGAGGGUAACACAGACUGGAAAUCCUUGCUGCAUGGUGGGGGUUGGAAGGAUUCGGCGGUUUGGGAUGGAUUCGCGGCCUGUCAACUUGUUGGUGGGGGAGGUGCUUACCAAGGGUUUGUCGGGCAGCCGGCCUGGGUGGGGGACCGGCCACAAUGGGACCGAGGUACGGCCCAGACUCCGACGGGGGGCAGGAGGUGGGAAUAAUGCACCAAUGGCGGAAGCCUUAUGCAGCAAAGCCGGGGGCGGGAAGACGGCCUUCGGGGUGUAAACCGCUUUCAGCAGGUGCGAAGGCGGUAGUGACGGUACCGGCAGAAGAAGCACCGGCUAACUACGUG